rnacentral:rRNA from 1 species
UACGAGGGGGGCAAAUGUUGUUCGGAAUCACUGGGCGUAAAGGGAGCGUAGGCGGGUGUUUAAGUUAGGUGUUUAAUCCUGGGGCCCAACCCCAGACAGGCACCUAAACUGGACAUCUUGAAUAGGGGAGAGGCCAGCGGAAUUGGGGGUGUAGCGGUGGAAUGCGUAGAGAUCCCCAAGAACACCAGUUGCGAAGGCGGCUGGCUGGACCCAUAUUGACGCUGAGGCUCGAAAGCAUGGGGAGCAAACAGGG